UUAUUUUAUUUUUUGUACCGCAGAAUUGGAUCAUUGAGAGUUAGGAGUUCUGAAAUUAUGAUGUGAUUAUGAAAUAUGAACUGUGAUUGCACAUAAUCUAUGAUUUUACAUAAUCCUAGGUUCCUAUAUUUGUCUAUUUUGCCCUAAUAUAUUCACUUAAAUCUUGAUUGUACUAGCAUAGUGAUUUCUCUGGGUGCAAAACUUGUACAUAUGCUGAUGGAUGCAUGUAAUUGUUUAAAAGGAUGGAGGAUCCAUGCAACAGGUGAGGGGGGAGGGAAAAUAGAUAGAUAGAUAGAUUGAAGAUUAGACAAGCACCAUAUCUUUUUCAUAAAUAAGUGAAGAACUUUGGGAGGAAUUUUUUAUUCUAUUCCAAGUGAAUUGAUCUUUACAAGGUUUGAGUACUUAUAUAUAAAGAAUCAACGUAAAUUAGGAAUAUUUACAAUAAAAAUAAAAUCUCUUAAAUCAAACCUAAUUAGGAUCCCAAAAAUUUAAAUCCUCUUAAUUAGGAACCUUCUAUGUUGGUCAACACUCUCCCUCAAAUUGGUGCGUAGAUAUCACACAUGCCCAACUUGCAAAGCAAGAUAUGAUAGGUCUUGUUGCUGAGCCCUUUAGUAAAUAUAUCAGCUAGCUGUUGAUCGGAAGUCACAUGAUCUAACUUCAAGACACCAUUUAUUAACUUCUCUUUAAAGAAGUGUUGAUCAAUCUCUAUGUGCUUUGUUCGGUCAUGUUGAACCGGAUUGUAAACUAUACUGAUGACAGUUUUGUUGUCACAGUAUAAGAGGAGUUUGUCCCUCUCCAAUAGUUUUAAUUCCUCCGACAAUCUUUGCAACCGUAGGAGUUCACAAACACAAUUUUGGGCAUUAGUGUAAGGACAACUAGUUUGAUGCAGUAUUUCAUUAAACUCCAGAUAAGUAGAAAAAUGGCCAUCCAUAUACUCUGUACCAUUAUCAGUUCUCAAAACUUUUAUCUUAGCAUCAAAUUUAGUACAAAUCAUCUUAUGAAAAGAUUGAAAGCAAGAAAUCACAUCACUCUUAUUUUUUUAAAAAAAGAAAAUCACCUCACUCUUUGCCUUUAUCAAAUAAAUCCAAGUCAUGCGAGUGCAACAAUCAAUAAAAGUAACAAACCAACGAUUACCAGAUGUGAGACUGUUUGAGUAGGUCCCCAAACAUCAGAAUGGAUGGUCACAAAAGGGAUCGUACGCCUAUUGUUACUGGAGCGAUAAGAGGUUCUUGUAUGCUUAGCAUACUCACAAGCAUUACAAACUAAAGAACCACAUUGAACCUUAGAAAAUAAAUCAGGAUAAAUUUUCUCUAAAACAAAGAAGGAUAGGUGUCCUAAUCGUCGAUGCUACUAUAUGAUUUCCUUGUUGACAUCUUAAUUCUUUCAAACAGAGUGCGAGGUGAAUUCAAACUCAGAUUCCCUUCAAAUAUAUAUAAGCCUUGUGCAAUCUACCAUUGGCAAUCCUAUUUCCAGUUUGAAGGUCCUGAAUAACACAAUGGUAAGGAAAAAAAAUUCAAUUUUACAGUUAAGUAUUUUGGUGAGAGUACUAAUAGAUAAAAGAUUAACAGGUAAACAAGGAAUAUGAAGAACAGAUGAUAGCUUGAUAUUUGGAGUACAAAUAAUAGAACUGGUUCCAGAUAUAAGAGUGAAAGAACCAUUUGCGAUUCUAACAGUGUCUUUCUGUAGACAUGAAAUAUAAUUAAGAAAGUCUUCAGAGGAGCCCGUCAUAUAUCUAUUUACACCAGAAUCAAUAAUCCAUAGAGUAGAAUCAAGAGACAAAACAAAAGUAUUAUCAAAAGUCCUUACAUUACCUAAACAAGUCACUGCCAUUUAAAAAAAAAACUACCAUUUUUUUGUUAGAAACAGUAGAAAAUUAUUAUUACUAAAGAAAAAAUUACUGUUCAUCGGCGAAAAAGACACGGGUCCAGUAUAUCAGAAGCGCGACUUGAAGGCAAAUUUACUGGAAAGGAUUACUACCGAAAAAACCAUCAGAAAACAUCUCCCAUGCAGGAAAAAGGUGAACCAAGUCACGGGUCCACACAGGUCAAAAGCGCGACUUAAAGGCGAGCCCGCUGAAAAGGAUCGCCAUAGAAAAAGACCACUGGAAAACAUCACACGUGCCAGCGCGUGGGAAAGACGUAGAAUCUUGCGAGGGCGCGUGAGUCUCACGCGCGUGGCUUUUUGGCGUUGGAACUGGACAGCUGGCCGACAACCCUGCUGGUGGCGGUGGUGAGAUUAAAGACAAAAAAAGCUAAGAGAAAAAAUGAAUUUAAAUGCUAAAAUCAGGAAAAAAAAAAAGUUCUGAUACCAUGAAGAAUUUGGGAAGGAAUUUUUUAUUCUAUUCCAAUUGAAUUGAUUUUUACAAAGUUCGAAUAUUUAUACAUAAAGAAUCAAUCUAAAUUAGAAAUAUUUACAAUAAAAAUAAAAUCCUUUAAAUCUAGCCUAAUUAGGAUUCUAAAGAUUUGAAUCCUCCUAAUUAAGAACCUUCUAUGUUGAUCAACAAUAAGAUAUUGUUUGGAGCGUAAUAAGUUAGCAAGCAAAUAAUUAGUUGCCAUUGAAUGUGCUCACUUUUAAUAAUCUAUAGUCAUCUUUUUCUCAUGCUUUCAUUUUAUGCAG
rnacentral:lncRNA from 1 species